rnacentral:rRNA from 1 species
AGAGUUUGAUCAUGGCUCAGAUUGAACGCUGGCGGCAGGCCUAACACAUGCAAGUCGAACGGUAACAGGAAGAAGCUUGCUUCUUUGCUGACGAGUGGCGGACGGGUGAGUAAUGUCUGGGAAGCUGCCUGAUGGAGGGGGAUAACUACUGGAAACGGUAGCUAAUACCGCAUAACGUCGCAAGACCAAAGAGGGGGACCUUCGGGCCUCUUGCCAUCGGAUGUGCCCAGAUGGGAUUAGCUAGUAGGUGGGGUAACGGCUCACCUAGGCGACGAUCCCUAGCUGGUCUGAGAGGAUGACCAGCCACACUGGAACUGAGACACGGUCCAGACUCCUACGGGAGGCAGCAGUGGGGAAUAUUGCACAAUGGGCGCAAGCCUGAUGCAGCCAUGCCGCGUGUAUGGAGAAGGCCUUCGGGUUGUAAAGUACUUUCAGCGGGGAGGAAGGGAGUAAAGUUAAUACCUUUGCUCAUUGACGUUACCCGCAGAAGAAGC